UACAGAGGGUGCAAGCGUUGUUCGGAAUUAUUGGGCGUAAAGGGUGCGUAGGCGGUGCGGUAAGUCUUCUGUGAAAUCUCCGGGCCUAACUCGGAGCCUGCAGAGGAAACUGCCGUGCUGGAGUAUGGGAGAGGUGAGUGGAAUUCCCGGUGUAGCGGUGAAAUGCGUAGAUAUCUGGAGGAACACCGGUGGCGAAGGCGGCAUCCUGGACCGGUAUUGACGCUGAGGCGCGAAAGCCAGGGGAGCAAACGGG
rnacentral:rRNA from 1 species